GAUGAACGCUGGCUACAGGCUUAACACAUGCAAGUCGAGGGGAAACGCCGGGGAAGCUUGCUUCCCCGGGCGUCGACCGGCGCACGGGUGAGUAACGCGUAUCCAACCUGCCUCUGACUGAGGGAUAACCCGUCGAAAGUCGGCCUAAUACCUCAUGGCAUCGUCUGCGGGCAUCCAACGACGAUUAAAGAUUUCAUCGGUCAGGGAUGGGGAUGCGUCUGAUUAGCUUGUUGGCGGGGUAACGGCCCACCAAGGCUACGAUCAGUAGGGGUUCUGAGAGGAAGGUCCCCCACAAUGGAACUGAGACACGGUCCAAACUCCUACGGGAGGCAGCAGUGAGGAAUAUUGGUCAAUGGGCGGGAGCCUGAACCAGUCAAGUAGCGUGCAGGAUGACGGCCCUAUGGGUUGUAAACUGCUUUUAGGCGGGGAUAAAGUGAGGGACGUGUCCUUCAUUGCAGGUACCGCAUGAAUAAGGACCGGCUAAUUCCGUG
rnacentral:rRNA from 1 species